GAUGAACGCUGGCGGCGUGCCUAAUACAUGCAAGUCGAGCGAACAGAUAAGGAGCUUGCUCCUUUGACGUUAGCGGCGGACGGGUGAGUAACACGUGGGUAACCUACCUAUAAGACUGGGAUAACUUCGGGAAACCGGAGCUAAUACCGGAUAACAUUUGGAACCGCAUGGUUCUAAAGUGAAAGAUGGUUUUGCUAUCACUUAUAGAUGGACCCGCGCCGUAUUAGCUAGUUGGUAAGGUAACGGCUUACCAAGGCAACGAUACGUAGCCGACCUGAGAGGGUGAUCGGCCACACUGGAACUGAGACACGGUCCAGACUCCUACGGGAGGCAGCAGUAGGGAAUCUUCCGCAAUGGGCGAAAGCCUGACGGAGCAACGCAGCGUGAGUGAUGAAGGGUUUCGGCUCGUAAAACUCUGUUAUUAGGGAAGAACAAAUGUGUAAGUAACUGUGCACGUCUUGACGGUACCUAAUCAGAAAGCCACGGCUAACUACGUG
rnacentral:rRNA from 1 species